rnacentral:rRNA from 1 species
UACGGAGGGUGCAAGCGUUAUCCGGAUUUAUUGGGUUUAAAGGGUGCGCAGGCGGGGCUUUAAGUCAGUGGUGAAAUCUCUUCGCUUAACGAAGAAACUGCCAUUGAUACUGAAGUUCUUGAAUCUAGUUGACGUUAGUGGAAUGUGUCAUGUAGCGGUGAAAUGCUUAGAUACGACACAGAACACCGAUCGCGAAGGCAGCUAACGAAGCUAGUAUUGACGCUCAGGCACGACAGCAUGGGGAGCAAACAGG